rnacentral:rRNA from 1 species
CACGUAGGGGGCAAGCGUUGUCCGGAUUUAUUGGGCGUAAAGAGCUCGUAGGUGGUUCGGUAAGUCGGGUGUUAAACCCCCAGGCUCAACCUGGGGACGCCACUCGAUGCUGCUGUGACUUGAGUCCGGUAGGGGAGCGUGGAAUUCCUGGUGUAGCGGUGAAAUGCGCAGAUAUCAGGAGGAACACCAGCGGCGAAGGCGGCGCUCUGGGCCGGUACUGACACUGAGGAGCGAAAGCGUGGGGAGCAAACAGG